CCUACGGGGGGCAGCAGUGGGGAAUAUUGGGCAAUGGGCGCAAGCCUGACCCAGCAACGCCGCGUGAAGGAAGAAGGCUUUCGGGUUGUAAACUUCUUUUGGCAGGGAAGAGUAGGAGACGGUACCUGACGAAUACGCCACGGCUAACUACGUGCCAGCCGCCGCGGUAAUACGUAGGUGGCAAGCGUUGUCCGGAUUUACUGGGUGUAAAGGGCGUGUAGCCGGGUUGACACGUCAGAUGUGAAAUCCUGCGGCUUAACCGCAGAACUGCUGUUGAAACGGGUGAGCUGGAGUACUGGAGAGGAAGACGGAAUUCCUAGUGUAGCGGGGAAAUGCGUAGAUAUUAGGAGGAACACCAGUGGCGAAGGCGGCCUGCUGGACAGUGACUGACGGUGAGGCGCGAAGGCGUGGGGAGCAAACAGGAUUAGAUACCCUAGUAGUC
rnacentral:rRNA from 1 species